rnacentral:rRNA from 1 species
UGACGAGCGGCGGACGGGUGAGUAAUUGAUAGGGGAUCUGCCUGAUGGAGGGGGAUAACUACUGGAAACGGUAGCUAAUACCGCAUAAUGUCUUCGGACCAAAGCGGGGGACCUUCGGGCCUCGCGCCAUCAGUAUGAACCCAUAUGGGAUUAGCUUGUAGGUGAGGUAACGGCUCACCUAGGCGACGAUCCCUAGCUGGUCUGAGAGGAUGAUCAGCACACUGGGACUGAGUACACGGCCAGACUCCUACGGGAGGCAGCAGUGGGGAAUAUUGCACAAUGGGCGCAAGCCUGAUGCAGCCAUGCCGCGUGUAUGAAGAAGGCCUUCGGGUUGUAAAGUACUUUCAGUCGGGAGGAAGGUGGUAAGGUUAAUAACCUUAUCAAUUGACGUUACCGACAGAAGUAAGCACCGGCUAACUCCGUGCCAGCAGCCGCGGUAAUACGGAGGGUGCAAGCGUUAAUCGGAAUUACUGGGCGUAAAGCGCACGCAGGCGGUUGAUUGAGUCAGAUGUGAAAUCCCCGGGCUUAACCCGGGAAUUGCAUCUGAUACUGGUCAGGCUAGAGUCUUGUAAAAGGGGGGGUAGAAUUCCAAUGUGUGGC